CAUUAGGUGACUGAAAGUAAGUACUGGUCUCUUAAACCAUUUUAUAAUAGAUUAACAACUAUUUCUAAUGA
rnacentral:tRNA from 1 species